rnacentral:pre_miRNA from 1 species
AGAGGGUUAGCUGGGUCAAAUGGUGGUUCUAUUCCAAGUUUUCUAAGGAAUCUCCAUACUGCUUUCCAGAUUGGGUUGCACCAAUUUGCACUCCCACCAGCAGU